GCCAUGUCGGGGUUCGUUGGAGGAUUCUAAAUACGACACAAGGAAUUCGUACAAAAACUAUGAAAACAGGAAUGCAUGUAGAAUCACCAAUCGCGCAGGAAUGCAAAACUAUGUCAUGUUCUAUUCGACAGUUGAGACGACAAUGGCAAACACUGAUGAAAAAGGUUCGUGGUUUGUCCGUAAUAUCUGCAUGUGUCUUAACAAUGCCGAUGAUGAGCCAUUGUUGAAAUUCUUUACCAUUGUUCAGAAUCGAAUGCAUCAUUCGUCACGCAGUUUAAUGAACUUUGCAAAAAACACUCCACUGGGACAGACGCCAGAACUCAAAAUGUUUACACAGGACAGAAAAUUUGUAAUCUCAAAGGCUAAUAUCACAGAAAAACCUAUUUCAAACACUGAUGCGUCUAGUGGCAAGAGCAAAGUUUUAAAUGAACUACAUUCCGGAUAUUUCGCCUGGAAAUCGGACGAAGGACAAGACAUCAGGGGCCGUAGAGGUUUCAUUUUAUCCGUGACUCAUUGCAAACAAGUACAAGAUAUGAAAAGAGUUCUUCAGAACCUAGACUUCGAAAUCACAGACUGGACACUUAGCAGUGCGUCCAUGAAUUUCUAUUUUA